AUGCAAGUCGAGCGGUAGCACAGAGAGCUUGCUCUCGGGUGACGAGCGGCGGACGGGUGAGUAAUGUCUGGGAAACUGCCUGAUGGAGGGGGAUAACUACUGGAAACGGUAGCUAAUACCGCAUAACGUCGCAAGACCAAAGUGGGGGACCUUCGGGCCUCAUGCCAUCAGAUGUGCCCAGAUGGGAUUAGCUGGUAGGUGGGGUAACGGCUCACCUAGGCGACGAUCCCUAGCUGGUCUGAGAGGAUGACCAGCCACACUGGAACUGAGACACGGUCCAGACUCCUACGGGAGGCAGCAGUGGGGAAUAUUGCACAAUGGGCGCAAGCCUGAUGCAGCCAUGCCGCGUGUGUGAAGAAGGCCUUCGGGUUGUAAAGCACUUUCAGCGGGGAGGAAGGCGGUGAGGUUAAUAACCUCAUCGAUUGACGUUACCCGCAGAAGAAGCACCGGCUAACUCCGUGCCAGCAGCCGCGGUAAUACGGAGGGUGCAAGCGUUAAUCGGAAUUACUGGGCGUAAAGCGCACGCAGGCGGUCUGUCAAGUCGGAUGUGAAAUCCCCGGGCUCAACCUGGGAACUGCAUUCGAAACUGGCAGGCUAGAGUCUUGUAGAGGGGGGUAGAAUUCCAGGUGUAGCGGUGAAAUGCGUAGAGAUCUGGAGGAAUACCGGUGGCGAAGGCGGCCCCCUGGACAAAGACUGACGCUCAGGUGCGAAAGCGUGGGGAGCAAACAGGAUUAGAUACCCUGGUAGUCCACGCUGUAAACGAUGUCGAUUUGGAGGUUGUGCCCUUGAGGCGUGGCUUCCGGAGCUAACGCGUUAAAUCGACCGCCUGGGGAGUACGGCCGCAAGGUUAAAACUCAAAUGAAUUGACGGGGGCCCGCACAAGCGGUGGAGCAUGUGGUUUAAUUCGAUGCAACGCGAAGAACCUUACCUGGUCUUGACAUCCACAGAACUUACCAGAGAUGCUUUGGUGCCUUCGGGAACUGUGAGACAGGUGCUGCAUGGCUGUCGUCAGCUCGUGUUGUGAAAUGUUGGGUUAAGUCCCGCAACGAGCGCAACCCUUAUCCUUUGUUGCCAGCGGUCCGGCCGGGAACUCAAAGGAGACUGCCAGUGAUAAACUGGAGGAAGGUGGGGAUGACGUCAAGUCAUCAUGGCCCUUACGACCAGGGCUACACACGUGCUACAAUGGCAUAUACAAAGAGAAGCGACCUCGCGAGAGCAAGCGGACCUCAUAAAGUAUGUCGUAGUCCGGAUUGGAGUCUGCAACUCGACUCCAUGAAGUCGGAAUCGCUAGUAAUCGUAGAUCAGAAUGCUACGGUGAAUACGUUCCCGGGCCUUGUACACACCGCCCGUCACACCAUGGGAGUGGGUUGCAAAAGAAGUAGGUAGCUUAACCUCGGAGGGCGCU
rnacentral:rRNA from 1 species